rnacentral:lncRNA from 1 species
GCCGGCGUCUUUGAAUAAAAAUGAAUUCGUUUGUUAAGAUUUUAUUGUCUUUUGUCCACAAAGUUGACGGUGUCAUUCAAUUCUUUCAUAAAUUUAUCCACAAUGGUAUAUCAGCAUGAUAAUAAUACAUCUUGAGUUCAACAAACGAGUUAUAAAUUUCACCAUUCGGCUUACCCCAAUCUAACUUUAACAGAGUGAUUGACUGUAUUUGAUUUAUACUUGCAC